UACGUAGGGUCCGAGCGUUGUCCGGAAUUACUGGGCGUAAAGAGCUCGUAGGUGGUUUGUCACGUUGUUCGUGAAAACCCACAGCUCAACUGUGGGCGUGCGAGCGAUACGGGCAGACUAGAGUACUGCAGGGGAGACUGGAAGUUCCUGGUGUAGCGGUGGAAGUGCGCAGAUAUCUGGAGGAACACCAGUAGCGAAGGCGGCUCGCUGGGCCACACCUGACGCUGAGACGCGAAAGCUAGGGGAGCGAACAGG
rnacentral:rRNA from 1 species